UACGAAGGGUGCAAGCGUUACUCGGAAUUACUGGGCGUAAAGCGUGCGUAGGUGGUUCGUUAAGUCUGAUGUGAAAGCCCUGGGCUCAACCUGGGAACUGCAUUGGAUACUGGCGAUCUGGAGUGCGGUAGAGGGUGGCGGAAUCCCCGGUGUAGCAGUGAAAUGCGUAGAUAUCGGGAGGAACAUCCGUGGCGAAGGCGGCCACCUGGACCAGCACUGACACUGAGGCACGAAAGCGUGGGGAGCAAAC
rnacentral:rRNA from 1 species